UGGUGCAUUUUGAUCUAGCAUUAAUAUCAGCUUUUCCUUUCAGCAUUUGAGUCCCUGUUUCUUGAAAUAUUGAUUGAAAGGGCAUCGGUUACUGUUAAAUCAUACAUAAUUUUCUGAAUAUUAAAUAUGAGAAGGUUUAAUGAGUUAUUGUUUAUUCCAGAUUUGGGGACUUAAGUGCUGAAAGGUAACAUUUGUUUUUAGUUUUAUUGCUGUCAUUUAGUUCAAAUGUUUUUAUCUUACACCUGUUAUGUUCAUCAAUUUACCAAAUUAAGUUGAUUUUACGAAAUUCUAAUUUCUUUUGGAAAAGAAAACAAAUUUUAAUUUAAAAACACAAAAGAUGAUAAAUUUUUCAGUCAAGAAAGGUAACAAUUUUAUUUUGAGUUAAGUGAAAUCUGCUUUUAUUUGGUAAACUUUACAUCUGUUAUGCAGAUUGACACUUCUGCAUUGUUGUAUAUUUUUGUAUGUAAAAUCUGAGAAUAAAAAAGAAAAUUUUC
rnacentral:misc_RNA from 1 species